UACGAAGGGGGCUAGCGUUGUUCGGAAUUACUGGGCGUAAAGCGUGCGCAGGCGGCUGCUCAAGUCAGGGGUGAAAGCCCAGAGCUCAACUCUGGAAUUGCCUUUGAGACUGAGUGGCUUGAGUACGGGAGAGGUGAGUGGAAUUCCCAGUGUAGAGGUGAAAUUCGUAGAUAUUGGGAAGAACACCGGUGGCGAAGGCGGCUCACUGGCCCGUAACUGACGCUCGUGCACGACAGCGUGGGGAUCAAACAGG
rnacentral:rRNA from 1 species